AAAGAGAGAGACCAGCUACAGACCAGUUACAAGACCCUGACUGCAGAGAGAGACCAGUUGCAGAUCAGUUCCAGCACGCUGACCGAAGAAAGAGACCAGCAACAGACCAGAUACAACACCCUGACCAAAGAGAGAGACCAUCUACAGACCAGAUGCAACACCUUGACAGCAGAGAGAGACCAGCUACAGAAAGGUGUUGAGAAAGUGUGUCCGCAAGGAUGGAAGAAGCUUGGUAGCAGUUGUUACUACAUCUCUACUGAGUACAAAUCCUGGGAGGAGAGCAAACAGGACUGCAGAGAUAGAGGAGCAGACCUGGUGAUCAUCAACAGCCAAGACAAACAGACAUUUGUCAAUUGGUUAUGUGGAGUGAAGAACUAUGUCUGGAUUGGUCUGACUGACUCUGUUACUGAGGGGACCUGGAAAUGGGUGGACGACACACCACUGACCACAACGUACUGGAAGAGUGGAGAGCCUAAUGGUGGUGUAGCUGAGAACUGUGCGUAUUUCUACUCCUGGUCAUCAGACACAGGAGCAUGGUGGGACUAUGACUGUUCCUAUCAAUACAGAUGGAUCUGUGAGAAAUAGGUUUCUCUGUACUGCUAGAGACCAUUUCAGACAUAUGUUUUAAAUCCUUAAACCUAGACUUGGACCAAACAAAAUAGCGAUUGAUUUGCAACGCUUGUAGUUAACCAUUGAUUCCUUCCAAACCACUCAUUGUUGAAUUUCUGAUUUCCUACUUGAUGUGUAAUGUUUAUGUCCAAUGACGAUGAGCACUGAUACCUUGUAUCUAUAAUUUGUUCUUAACUGACUUGCCUAGUUAAAUUAAAAAUAAA